CUAAAAGUUGGUUAACCUGGCGCUUGUGCUGCGCGGAGAUAUCUCCAAAUCCUGUUCGAUUUUCUUGACAUGACGUCCAAUUUUGUACGGAUCAAGUGGUGGCGAGGUUGAUUUUGUUGUUGCAUUGAACUUAUUCAUCACAAUUUCUGGAUUAUAUGGAUGUAUCCCUACAUCACGAAAACCAGCGCGUAUAAUCCUUGUUGUGAAGGUUUGGUUCUGGACGGUUGGUAAAUGCCAUAAGAAAUCAUAUUUAUCAAAAUCGUAUGAUCUGCCACGUGCUUGCUUAUUGAUCUCUAUCCCAUGAUAAUGCUUAUAUGCCUGGAAAGGAACAUUAUCUAAUGGCUGGAGAAAGUGCGUUGUAUGAGGUGGAAAGCAAUAAAUAACGAUUUUUCUUUCCUUGUAAUAUUGGAUGAAUUCGUACGAAAGGUGUGCCUUGAAAUUAUCUAUUAAAAGCAUUCGAUAACCGUUCCCAGCAGCUUUCCGGGUUGAAAUAUUAAAAUGAUAAAGCCAUUCAUAUAUAAGCUCGUCGUUUGAGAAGUCUUUGUCGGAGCAAGCCAGUAAAUAAUCCUCUUUAUGGAGAUAUUGAUACCAUUCCUCUAUAUGCUUUUUCCCCUUUAUAAUUAUAAGGGGGGGAAUCACAUUUCCGGCGGCAUUUACGCUCUCAAUUAUCGUUAACGAUUCUCGAGAGGAAGCGCUUCCAAUCCUUGUUGAUGUAUGGGGAAAUUGUGUUACCACAGUCUCCUCUUUUCCCUGUCCAACUCGGAAUCCGGUCUCGUCAAAGUUCCAAAGGUUUGAAGGUGUAAUUUUGUUAGUACGGAGUUGGAUUUCAAGACGAUCGAACCAGGUUUGUAUGACUCUAAGAUCCUCUGCUUGUAUUCGCUUAGGGUCAAUUGGUUUUUGCUUGGUGCGUGUAUAACCUGGGGGUAGGCGUUUUGUAAAGUGAUAAACCUAACCCGUACCAACCGUAGGCGGGGGAUUGAUGUGCGGAUUGGCGCGCUCAAGGCAGGCAUUUGCGCACCCUAUAAUCAAU
rnacentral:lncRNA from 1 species